UGGAAAUUCUGAUCACCUUUUUCUUCUCUAUUGUAACGUAUAUCUGAGAAACUGCUUCUUGAAUGAGAAAAAAUGUGGGGCAGGACUUGACUUUGUCAAUUGGGAAUUGUUUGGAUCAUUGUCAUUUGCUAAUUGCGAUCUCAUGUGAGUGACAGAUUGCUGGAUUAUUGCUCAACAUCAUUGCAAAGGUGAAAAAGACAGAUUUCUCUCUGGUGAUGUACGUCCGACUUUUCCACCUGACUCUCCAGAAUUAACUGCAUGUAAGCCUGAAAGUUACCUCAGUAACACACUUGGACACAAAACACUGACAAAGCAACUAUCUGAAGGCCUCAGUCUGGGACUAGUUAUCUCCCAGCUGUGUAAACGCACACACAUACACACACUCCAGCAGAGACACCCAGGGGCACCUUGGCCAAAGUAUUUUAAUCAGUGCCAAACUGUUCUCUCUCUCUCUCUUUCUCUGUCUCUCCCCCACUCUCCCUCCACCCUUUUCUUCCUUUCCGUUCCUGCAUAAUGGAAUUCAUUGCUCUGUCUCCACAGGGUCCAAUCACAACACAAACUGAAAGGUUUUUACAAAUAA